UCAGGGGUCCCUUUACCUUUAUCUCUAAAGACACUUGCCUGGCACUUACUCUUCUUUACUCAGAAAUUUCAACUUGAGAUUCUAAGUUGUUUUAAGGGUUGUAUCUAUUUUUUAUUAUUGUAUUUGUACUGUGAUGAAAAGGUCACACCAUCCUGAAAUCCUACUGUCACCAUUAAUAAUAUAGUAAUAUAUUAUCUUUCCUUCUGCAGUAGCCCAGGGCACUGCACAACUUAAUGAAAAUGUGACGUUUUCCACAAAUGGGAAUUCACAGCACUGUAUCAACAGAUGUUUUUUGGGGUGGUAGAUCUUAGAAGUUCCCAACAGUCACUCUUGGGAAAGUCAUAGAGAAGGAGAAACCUGUACAAUGCUAUCUUUGGACUGGCAGUCGCAGAACCUUGGUUAAAGUCACAAACUAGUGCAAGAUGUCUCUUAAAAAUAAAAAUAAAAACACCUUUGUUUGCUAGCUGCAGUGGUAUUGCUGAAACCCCCUCAAGAUUAGUAUGGAAAAGCUUUUCCCAACCUGAGGUUCUCCAGCACAUGCCAGCUGGGGCUGAUGGGAGUUCUGGUCCAACACAGCUGGAGGGCACCUCGUCCCCUUCAUCCUGCUUGCACAGACAUAGCUUGGCAAAGUUCUCUUCUCUCGCCUCUAUUGCAGCUCCCUCGGGGGAUUCUGUGAUCCUGUAUUAACAUCAAAUAAUGCGGAGACCUAGCUUACAAGCAAGCUGAUCACCAGCCCCAGCCCAGCCAGAUGUGGGAUAUAUUGGUUAAGGGCUCGGCACGUGCGGAUUUCAAGAAGGGUAAUCUUCUAUCUGUGUGGGCUGCAGAAGUAUUGACCACAAAUAUUUUUCCUAGUACCAGAUAUGGUUUUCCUGGCACCAAAUGUGUAAUAGAGUGUGACAGAACAUACAACAGAAUUCAUGGAGGUAAAUGGUUAUAUAGCAUGAAAUUAGCUCUUCCUGUGAUUGUCUCUCCACGAGCAAAUAAAUGCUAUAUCAGUAUUACAUUGUGUAAAUAUUAUAUGGAAGCCAAGAGUUGAAAGGGGUCAGAAGGUAGGGGAAGAUCAGCUGGGGAAGAGGGUUAGUGUUAGGGGGAAAGCAGCAGACAGAGAAAGGUUAAUCAUCCCCUUGACCCCAUCACUUUCCCCCACUUCACAUUGCCUUCUGCUUAUAAUGCUUUGCAGAGAAUGAGCAAGCCGCUAAGGCUUUCUUCCAUACACUUGCACAUUGGUCCUAAGUAUACCAGAUGAUACCAGAAAGAGACGAUUCAAGUGGUCGGCUGCUUGAGCCCAGCACAUACUUUUAGUAGUAGAAUAAGCUAUGCAUAAAUGCUUAAGUAAAUAAUCCCCAAAUUUUCAAUUAAGUGCAGGUGUGAAGUUUGUUCCUUCCUUGGACCUAAGAAGUGUUAUGCAGCUGUACAAGGAGUAAAUAUUCUGCAGUUGCAGAAAUCCAGAAUCUAAUAGUUUUAAGAUUGUUUCUCAUUUCCUCUUAAGUUCACGCAACAUAGUGGGAUAAUCCCUGUCAAACUGAGUUACUAAAGCUUGUGUAAGAUGAUCCAGAAGUUAGAAAUAAUUCUAAUUAAAUGCACUAAAUAAAUUUAUCCCAGAUGUUUCUAAGACAGCCAUUGUAGAGAUGCUACAUAACUUCAUGGCAGAAGAAAGUGCAUAUAAAGUUUCAGACCUCCUUUAUUCCAAAGUUCAAGACGUGUAUCUGGGCAGUUAUUUAUUUCGUUUACCAACAAGUAUAAAUAAUAAAGUAAACAAAUAGCCUAGAUACGCUUCUGUCACCAAUGGUAUGGUGUGAUUUACAGCUGAUUAGAAGUACAAUCAACUGUUCCAUGAGGAUGAAACUUAAAAUGAUAUAGAUCUUUAGGAAGUAAAAAAUAUUCUCCCUUUGUAUAUCACUUCAAAGUAGGUAUCUAAGCAGUUUAUGGAAAACAAUAACAUAUAGCAAUUCAAUUACAAAGUAAGAGCACAAAUACAUAACUGAGUAAACACUGUGUGUG
rnacentral:lncRNA from 1 species